GUAUUAUAUUUUCGUUUUCUUCCUACUUGUCUGCGGGCUCGCGGGCCGCCAUUUUGGUGACCCAAAUACUACUCUCUAGUAUAGAGUAACUACAGAGAAUAGAUCAUAAAGUUCCGCAAAGGUCGAUUGAAAGUAUAGCCUACCUAUCUACCUAUAUCAUUAUAAUACUUAUAAAAUAUGACCUGACCCAGUGGUUUUUUUUUUUCAUAUUUUAAUUUCAUAGAUCAAUCAGCUACAAUAAAAAUCACUGACAAAACAUAGACAGCGAUAAUUAGGAAAGGUGUAAGACAAGGAUGUCCACUCUCGCAAGCCUUAUUGAAUAAUUAUGUCGGACAGCCUAUUAAAGAAAUUAGAGAAACACUUCUCGGAAAUAAAAUAGGCAUAAAAAUGGGUGGA